AUGAUUUACACGUUUCUAACCUGAUGUCAAAAGCGAAGAAAAGAACAAUAUAUCUAAAGCGUUUGGAAAAGCGGAGAGUUCUUUGUUUCGCGACUUUGCGAGACGAGCCCGCAGCUCAUUUACCGGAUCCGGGAACGGAAGUCUAAUAUUCUCUACCUGAUCCGUUACAUACCCGCGCAUGGUCACGGUUCAUGGUUCUAUUGGAUCUAUGUUAAACGACAAACGGUGCAAAAAGUACGUGCCAUAUAUGGAUGGAAAGAUUUAGAGGAUUAAGGCAACCUUGAACAUACUGACAAUGAGGACACAAAAAUGUGUGCGACAGUCAGAUACUUUCUUGGCGCGCAGAGUCCGAAUCUUACUGUACUAUCUGUCAGUUGACCAAGAGAGAACCGCACGCCUGUGCCGCAGCAGAAUGCCGAGUUGAGCCGCGCGGUCCAUAGGCGAGACAACCGGCGGAUAAUCAUCGCGAACACGACGGUGGACGCGCGGUCGUCGUAGUCGUCAUUGUCGUGGGGUUAAACGACGAAAUAGACGCAAAGCAGAGGAAAGGAAAAGAAAGAAGAGAAGAGAAGAGAAGAGAAGAGAAGAGGACGCGGACAA